GAGUGGACUAGGCCGGGCGGCCAGGCCCCGCCCCUCGCCCGCAUGAUGGUCUUGAGCGGGGGCCGAACACCGGAGACGUCGGAUCCGCCGGGUGCGGACCCCGGCCCCAACCGUGGAAGCCUCGUCCCGCGGGGGCAGCGGUCCACGUCGGCUCGCCUGCAGGGGCGACUCGGCGUGGUUGAUCGGCGCCAGCCCGUCAGGCGCGGAAGCGAGCAGCGGAGCGCCGGACACCUGUCGCUCGCGGGGUUGCGGGGUGGAGGGACGGGCCGGGACUACCCGCACCCGAACGAUCCGGCAACUCCGGCCGUCCACUC
rnacentral:SRP_RNA from 1 species